UCCGGUUUGUCACCGGCAGUCACCUUAGAGUGCCCAACUUAAUGCUGGCAACUAAGAUCAAGGGUUGCGCUCGUUGCGGGACUUAACCCAACAUCUCACGACACGAGCUGACGACAACCAUGCACCACCUGUCAUUCGGUCCCCGAAGGGAACUCCCUAUCUCUAGGGACAUCCGAAGAUGUCAAGACCUGGUAAGGUUCUUCGCGUUGCUUCGAAUUAAACCACAUGCUCCACCGCUUGUGCGGGCCCCCGUCAAUUCUUUUGAGUUUCAGCCUUGCGGCCGUACUCCCCAGGCGGAGUGCUUAUUGCGUUAACUGCAGCACUAAGGGGCGGAAACCCCCUAACACCUAGCACUCAUCGUUUACGGCGUGGACUAC
rnacentral:misc_RNA from 1 species